rnacentral:miRNA from 9 species
CGAGGGUCCUGGGGAAGCCGCG